UGCGCAGGCGGUUUGUAAGACAGGCGUGAAAUCCCCGGGCUCAACCUGGGAAUGGCGUUUGUGACUGCAAGGCUAGAGUAUGGCAGAGGGGGUAGAAUUCCACGUGUAGCAGUGAAAUGCGUAGAGAUGUGGAGGAAUACCGAUGGCGAAGGCAGCCCCCUGGGCCAAUACUGACGCUCAUGCACGAAAGCGUGGGGAGCAAACAGGAUUAGAUACCCUGGUAAGUCCACGCCCUAAACGAUGUCAACUAGGUGUUCGGGUGGGUAAAACCAUUUAGUACCGGAGCUAACGCGUGAAGUUGACCGCCUGGGGAGUACGGCCGCAAGGUUAA
rnacentral:rRNA from 1 species